AGCUCUGUAAGCGUAUACCAAAGUUGUUGCAGUUAAAACGCUCGUAGUCGGAUUUUGGUGGUCUCGCAGGGACGCGCGUUGAGCGUGGGCCUGUCGGGGCUGCUUUUGUGGAGGACGUGCACAGGCGGCUUUACUGUCGCUUGUGUUUUUUUUCUUUUUGCGUCACCACCAUUUACUGUGAAAAAAUUAGAGUGUUCAAAGCAGGCGUUUGCCAUGAAUACAUUAGCAUGGAAUAAUGGAAUAGGACUUGGAUCCUAUUUUGUUGGUUUGUGAGGGCCAAGUAAUGAUUAAGAGGGACAGUUGGGGGCAUUUGUAUUCCGGCGCUAGAGGUGAAAUUCUUAGAUUGCCGGAAGACAAACCGCUGCGAAAGCGUCUGCCAAGGAUGUUUUCA
rnacentral:rRNA from 1 species